rnacentral:lncRNA from 1 species
UUAGACUCCCAAAAUUUUUAUGAUUUGUUUGAUACGUCCCUUGUGUUUAGUGAUGAUUUUUUAGUUGAAUUAUGAUAAGGAAUGAUAGUAGGGCCAUUAGAGGGUGUUUUAGAAUUUUUGGAAUAUAUUUGAGGUCAUUUUAGGACCCCAAACCAGUGAGGGUCUAAAAUACGAAAAUGCCACGCUCUGAGAGUGCCGUGAUAAAG